rnacentral:tRNA from 2 species
CCCGCCGUAGCUUAGUGGUAGAGCAUCCGGCUGUAGACCGGAGGGUCGCCGGUUCAAAUCCGGCCGGCGGGACCA